UGGAAGCAGUGAAUAUGUUGAUAGAAGAACGAGAUGCAUUAUUGCUGGAAUUGAGGGGCAAUCUUCUUAAGGCUCAAGAUCAGAUGAGGGCACAAGCAAAUAAGCAUAGGAGAUAUGUGGACUAUCAAGUGGGUAAUUGGGUUUUCCUUAAAUUGCAGCCUUACAAAUUGCAAAAUUUAGCUCAGAGGAAGAAUCAGAAGUUGAGCCCUAGGUUUUACGGUCCUUUUAAGGUCCUGGAGAGGGUUGUUCAGGUUCUGCCAGCUUCUGUUUUGUCCUAUAGAGAGACUCCAGCUGGAGGAAGGGAGGUGUUGGUGCAGUGGCAAGAUUUUCCAGGUUGUGAGAGGAUAGACCUGUUCACUAAAGUCUAUCAAAGAAGGGGAAAAAUAGAGGGUUAGUUAGAUUUUGCCAUGUGGAAGUUAGGUUGUUAUAACUGUUAGUGGGAAAAACAGUUACAAAGGGGGAUAUAAAUAGUGAAUUAGAACUGUCAGUGAGUUAGUUAGUUCUGGAACUGGAAAAUUGUGGAGAGAAUUGGGACUCUCGAAAUUCCCAGUGCUUGUACCAAUUCCUAUUCCCAAUUGGGAUUAAGGUUCUGGAAUAAUACAAUUCUCAGUAGUUCUACUUCA